CCCUAUGCCCCCUCCCCGCGCAUGCGCGGACGGAGCCAAGAUGGCGGCGGCGGCCGGCGCCUCGUCCUCGGCGGCCGGGAGCAACGGGGCGGGCGGCAUGGAGGUGGACGCCGCAGCCCCCUCGGUGAUGGCGGGGGGGGUGACGGGCAGCGUCUCGGUGGCGCUGCACCCCCUCGUCAUCCUCAACAUCUCCGACCACUGGAUCCGCAUGCGCUCCCAGGAGGGGCGCCCGGGGCAAGGUGCGUGGGGACCCCCCCCC